CUAAAGAAAAUUAUACAAAAUGGACUUGAUUAAAAUUAAAAACCUUGGUGCAAAGGGCAUUAUCAAGAAAUUGAAAGAUGACCUAUAGACAAGAUUAAGCCAAAGCCAACCCUUGGGCAGGUAGGGGAAGCUGAGGAUAGAGGCAGAGGGUAAGAAUGUUCUGGGGUUGAUCAUGGUGAAUGAAGAAAGAGCAAAACCAGAGCUGAGCACAGGGUCCAAAGACACACGAAGGAAAAUCAGGGUCAGAAUCCAGGAAAUUGUGGCAGGGCAGAGCAGUUAGGAAUCAGGCUAGCUACCAUGAGUACUGUUUGAAUGUGAGACUCUGAGACACACUCUCAGAGGCUCCAUAGAUCUCUGCUUUCAGAACUCCACUGAGAUCAUAAAAAAUUCAGGUGGUAGGGCCCAAUUCCAACUCACUGAAUCAGUAUCUCUAGGGGGUGGACCCAGGUGUUUGCAUCUUAACAUGCCCUCAGAUGAUUCUUAGGCUAAUGUAUGAGACCUCCAGAUCAGGGGACAUAUGUGCAGCUCCUGAGAUAGACCAAAAUCCCACAGGCUCAACAUUCCAGUUCUGCAAGCACACUGUAUGUAUCCUCAGUGAGGGACUUUGCAAGUCCUGCCAGCAACUUCCAAUUAACAGAGACUUAAAACUGGGGCUGCAGAGUGAACUAAGGACAGUGCCUACUAGUUGUAGAGCACCUACCCUGUGCCAAGGCACUAGGGCUGCGGCGUAAACUAAGGACAAUGCCUACUAGUUGUAGAGCACCUACCCUGUGCCAAGGCACUAGGGCUGCGGCGUAAACUAAGGACAGUGCCUACUAGUUGUAGAGCACCGAUCCUGUGCCAAACCCUGUGCCAACUGGUAUUGCUCUAUUUGAUGCUUUACUGGUAUUACUCCAUUUAGUGCUUACUUAUGAGGGUCCCAGUACUAUUCCAUAUUUACAAACGAUAAAGCUGAGACUAAGAGAAGCCAAGCAACUUGUCCUGGGCCACCCAGCUAACUAAGAGCAACUUCAGGUUCUAGGCCAGUUUGACUCUGAGACCUGUGUUCUUUCCAUACACCAGCAUGCUGCAACAUUUUUCAACAGUUUUUGUUUUGUUUUGUUUUCUAAAGGCAGGGGAGCAGGGGGCUGGUGGCGGAGGUCAUAGCAUUAAUUGAUGGGGAGUCUUAGGUUAAUUAAAAAACUUGUCUCACCGUAGCAUACCCAGGGCAUAGUGGUGAAAUAAGACUCUGCUGUCUUUUCUAAUCAUCUUGAUCCCUGAGCCAGAAGGUAUUGUCAGGUAAUGUAAUCUUGCUCCAGCCUUUUCUUCAUCUAAGUGAAGAAGGGUCUGAGAUUAAGUUUGGGAAGAGAUUGAAAAGCAAAGCUCAGAGGAACAGAUUAAAAUGAUGCUGAGGCAUCCUGAAGCAGGAGAAAAACUGAUAGGACUUUGUUGAUGGAGCUGCUGAAGGAAGAUAAGACGCAUCGCUGAGGGACCAGAAGGGAAGGAAGAAGCUGAGGAGGGAACGGAGAUAAACAGGGUAGAGAGAAGAGAUAAGAGGCAGCAUGAGGGCGAGGCAGGGAAGAGGAAGAUAGGACCAGGGGCUCUGCAGGAGAGUAGGACCCAGGCCCUUUGUUGUCUCCUUUCUCGGGGUAUAUUCUUAAAGGGAGAGGGAGCCAAAGUCAUAGAAUAUGUUAAGUGCCAAAUUCUGAUUAUUCAAUCUCUGAGCCUGAAUAGAUAGUCCCAUUUGAAGGUAAAGCUAAACCGUCUCUUCCAGAAUGUGAGACCCUCUGGCUUUGUGCCCUUCACCCUCCCCUAUCCAUUUCCAGGUUGGUCCAAUCAGACAGACUUAGAGACCUAAAACUCCCCAGUGCAAUCCUGUCCACUUUACAUGGGAGUCACAGUCAUGAAGAGAUCACUAAGGCACUUUGUAUGCCUGGAAGGGCCAGAGUGCAGGGGUUGAGGACAUGGGCUCUGAAGCUGCUCCAGAGUUUGAAUACCAGCUCAACUGCAGACUACCUUCUUUAUGAAGCUGAACUUCCAUUUCCUCACCUGUCAAACAGGGAUAAAACUGGCAACCCCCUCAGAGAGAGAUUGUUACAAUCAUAUAAAAUAAUGCAUGCAACGUGCUUAGGAUAGUGCCUGACAUACAGAAGUAAUAUUAGUGAUGACUUCUAGUGCUGCUAUUAGGUUCAAGCACCUAGUAGGCACCUUAUAAAAAUAUUUAUCCAUUGGAUUGAAGAGGAAUCAGAACAUUUGAUUCUAGUCCUGUCUCGCUCACUAUGGUGGGAACACAGGAGGUGACUUUACCUCUCUGUGCUUCCAUUCUUCUCCCCUAUCAAAAGAAGAUAUGCUCUUUCUCUGACCCAGAGUACUAUGGGUUUGGAAAUUCUUAGAAAAGUAGGAAAUAGCAUAGAAAUACAGAAGAGGUUAUUUCCUUUAUUCUACCAUUGGAGUUUUACCCCAAGCUGUCUACUCUCUGCCAUACUUACAAAGUUUCACUGUAGCUAAGAAUUUUUGUUGUAAUUUGCUGUCACCUACUAGGGCUGAAAGUUUCUGCCUCAUUCCUCUAUUGACUCCUGACACCUGCAUGAAAGAUUCAGUUCCCCAGCUUCAAGAAGGUAUGUAUACAGAAUUUCUAAACUUUUAUCUUUUUGAAAUCCCUUGAUUCUUUUUGCCUCUCAGGUACAUUAAAGACGAUCCAAAUAUUUGGAAUCAUGAAAUGCAUAAUACAGAUGAAAGUGGCUCUGUAGAUUAUAAGCUGUCUGGGAAGAGGGAGUAGGUCUGUUCAGUUCAUUACUAUACCCCAGCACCCAACAGAGCCCUUUGGCACAUAGGAGACACCCAAGACACUUUCAAUGGAUGAGUGAGUGUGUCAGGAAUCAAAAUUGUUGACCCAACACCCAUUCCCAGUUUCUCCCGUGCUGAUUGACUGUAAGUUUUGGUUAAAUGGCCAUGUGUACAUCCUGGGGGCUGAGUAAUGAUUGGUGUAAAUUAGUCCUGGAUAUUUCAUUCCCCUUUGCCAAAGGAUGGGCAUGUGAUCAAGUGAAGUAUAUGGACAAUGAAAUAUAUGGGAGGUUCUCCUGGUAACCUCUAUGGCAGAUUUCCCUUUUUGAUCAAGGAUAAGGAUCAUAUUAGGGCAAAGUCUCAUUCCCUUCCACAUCCUUCCUUCCUGCUUGAGAUCCUUUUGUGCGAAGGCACAUUAGAGCCAUGGCAGCCAUCUUGCAACCAUGAGGAACAAGCCAAAAGAACUCAGAGACUCUAAUAUCUCAUUUCAGUGAAGCUGCUGAACCAACUCUCAAACAGCCUACAUCCAAAUUUCUAGUUAUGUGAAAUAAUUAAAAGUCUUUAAGUCACUGCUUUUUAGUAUUCUCUUACUUGCAGCUGAAUACAGUCUUAUUAAGACAAUGUAUGACUUUGCCCUGAGGAGGGUCUCCCAUUAUUUUUAGGGACAAGAGGGCAAAUAGUUGCCUUUUUACUAAAUUCUUUAUUCUGCAACAAAGGUUUCCACUUAACCAAUCUCCCAUGUUUCUCUUAUAAUCUUAGCAUCAUCUCAUUAUCCCUCUGAUGUCUCUGAAAGAUUAAUAGCACCACCUUGACCCCCAGACAUUCCUUCUCCAUUUGUCUUUUCUGUUUUCUCAUUAUCACUUUCCACAGACCAAAUAUUAUAUCUUGAUUUUUAAUUACUUUAAUGGGCCUCAUCCAUAGUAAUUGGGACAUUUAGGUCAUUAUCGUGUCUCCUCAGAUCUUCUUGAACAAUUUUAUUGAUCAUUUCUUGGAGCAAAAUCAUGUGGGGGUACUAGACCCACAUAAACUCAUAACUUAGGCCAAAAGUUGUCCUGAUUAAUUAGCAACAUUUCCUUCUGGCACAGAGCUGCCCUCCCUUUAGAAUAGUGGCUUACAGUCAUUGCUGCACAUUAGCGUUAUCCAAGGUGGCCUAAAAACUUCUGAAAGCCAGGUCUUCCCCAUGCCCAUUAAAGUCAGGAUCUCAGAGGGAAGUCAAACAUCAGUAUUUUUUAUUAUUGAAAUCCCCAUAUGAUUUCCACAUGCAGCCAACGUUGAAAAUCAAUACUUUAGGCCAGUACUUCUCAAUCUUUAACGUGCAUAUGGAUAACAUGGAAACCCUUGUUAAAAUGCAGGUUCUGAUCCCAUGCUCUAGGAUGGGGACCGACAUUCUGCACUGCUAACAAGCUCCCAGGUGAUGACCACGCAUGGUCUGAGCCCUACAUUUUGGUUAACAAAGGUCUAGAACCUAAAUCUAGUGGUCUAUUUUAAGACUGGAUCUAGGGAUCCCUGGGUGGCACAGCGGUUUGGCGCCUGCCUUUGGCCCGGGGCGCGAUCCUGGAGACCCGGGAUUGAAUCCCACGUCGGGCUCCCUGCAUGGAGCCUGCUUCUCCCUCUGCCUGUGUCUCUGCCUCUCUGUCUCUCUCUGUGUGACUA
rnacentral:lncRNA from 1 species